GCGAAAAACCUUAUCCUAGGCUUGACAUGGUUGGAUGAUCUACCUGAAAGGGAUACAUUUGCCUUCGGGUGAAACAAUCACAGGUGCCGCAUGGCUGUCGUCAGCUCGUGUCGUGAGAUGUCGGUUUUAGUCCUUCAACGAGCGAAACCCCUGUCUCCAGUUCCCAGCAUUCAGUUGGGGACUCUGGAGAGACCGCCGGCGUUAAACCGGAGGAAGGCGGGGACGACGUCAAGUCAUCACGGCCUUUAUGCCUAGGGCUGCACACGUGCUACAAUGGGGCGGACAAAGGGACGCCAACGCGCAAGCGGGAGCAAAUCUCAAAAACCGCCCCCCAGUUCAGAUUGCAGGCUGCAAUUCGCCUGCAUAAAGCCGGAAUCGCUAGUAAUCGCAGAUCAGUUAUGCUGCGGUAAUGUGUCCUAGCAUUGUACACACUGCCCGUCAAGCCACGAAAGCGCGG
rnacentral:rRNA from 1 species